UACGGGGGGGGCAAGCGUUGUUCGGAAUUACUGAGCGUAAAGGGCUCGUAGGUGGCCAACUAAGUCAGACGUGAAAUCCCUCGGCUUAACCGGGGAACUGCGUCUGAUACUGGAUGGCUUGAGAUUGGGAGAGGGAUGCGGAAUUCCAGGUGUAGCGGUGAAAUGCGUAGAUAUCUGGAGGAACACCGGUGGCGAAGGCGGCAUCCUGGACCAACACUGACGCUGAGGAGCGAAAGCCAGGGGAGCAAACGGG
rnacentral:rRNA from 1 species